rnacentral:rRNA from 1 species
AUGAACGCUGGCGGUAUGCUUAACACAUGCAAGUCGAACGGUGUCUUCGGACACAGUGGCGGACGGGUGAGUAACGCGUGAGAAUCUGGCUCUAGGUCUGGGACAACCACUGGAAACGGUGGCUAAUACCGGAUGUGCCGAGAGGUGAAAGGUUAACUGCCUAGAGAUGAGCUCGCGUCUGAUUAGCUAGUUGGAAGUGUAAUGGACUCCCAAGGCGACGAUCAGUAGCUGGUCUGAGAGGACGAUCAGCCACACUGGGACUGAGACACGGCCCAGACUCCUACGGGAGGCAGCAGUGGGGAAUUUUCCGCAAUGGGCGAAAGCCUGACGGAGCAAUACCGCGUGAGGGAGGAAGGCUCUUGGGUCGUAAACCUCUUUUCUCAGGGAAGAACACAAUGACGGUACCUGAGGAAUAAGCAUCGGCUAACUCCGUGCCAGCAGCCGCGGUAAUACGGAGGAUGCAAGCGUUAUCCGGAAUGAUUGGGCGUAAAGCGUCCGCAGGUGGCAAUGUAAGUCUGCUGUUAAAGAGUCUAGCUCAACUAGAUACAAGCAGUGGAAACUACAUAGCUAGAGUACGUUCGGGGCAGAGGGAAUUCCUGGUGUAGCGGUGAAAUGCGUAGAGAUCAGGAAGAACACCGGUGGCGAAGGCGCUCUGCUAGGCCGUAACUGACACUGAGGGACGAAAGCUAGGGGAGCGAAUGGGAUUAGAUACCCCAGUAGUCCUAGCCGUAAACGAUGGAUACUAGGCGUGGCUUGUAUCGACCCGAGCCGUGCCGUAGCUAACGCGUUAAGUAUCCCGCCUGGGGAGUACGCCGGCAACGGUGAAACUCAAAGGAAUUGACGGGGGCCCGCACAAGCGGUGGAGUAUGUGGUUUAAUUCGAUGCAACGCGAAGAACCUUACCAAGGCUUGACAUGUCGCGAAUCUUGACGAAAGUUGAGAGUGCCUUCGGGAGCGCGAACACCGGUGGUGCAUGGCUGUCGUCAGCUCGUGUCGUGAGAUGUUGGGUUAAGUCCCGCAACGAGCGCAACCCUCGUUUUUAGUUGCCAGCAUUAAGUUGGGCACUCUAGAGAGACUGCCGGUGACAAACCGGAGGAAGGUGGGGAUGACGUCAAGUCAGCAUGCCCCUUACGCCUUGGGCUACACACGUACUACAAUGCUCCGGACAGAGGGCAGCAAGCAUGCGAAUGCAAGCAAAUCCCGUAAACCGGAGCUCAGUUCAGAUCGCAGGCUGCAACUCGCCUGCGUGAAGGAGGAAUCGCUAGUAAUUGCAGGUCAGCAUACUGCAGUGAAUUCGUUCCCGGGCCUUGUACACACCGCCCGUCACACCAUGGAAGCUGGUAGUGCCCGAAGUCAUUACUCCAACUGUUCGCAGAGGAGGAUGCCUAAGGCAGGACUGGUGACUGGGGUG